rnacentral:lncRNA from 1 species
CUCCUUCCCCUGCCCACUUGGCUGCUUUAAGUGUUGCAGUCAUUGAAUUAGCAAAAGAACAUGGAAUAACAGAUGAUGACCUCAGAGUCCGUCAGGAAAUUGUGGAGGAAAUGUCAAAGGUUAUAACGACAUUUUUACCAGAAUGUUCACUUAGGUUGUAUGGCUCAUCUCUGACUAGAUUUGCUCUGAAAAGUAGUGAUGUUAAUAUAGAUAUAAAAUUUCCUCCCAAGAUGAAUCAUCCAGAUCUUCUGAUAAAAGUACUUGGGAUUUUAAAGAAAAAUGUAUUAUAUGUAGAUGUGGAAUCUGAUUUUCACGCUAAAGUUCCUGUUGUGGUGUGCAG